UUUCCAAUUCCUCCCUGCAGGGGCGGACGUGCUCUGCUCAGAGAUUCUGCCACCCAGCGCUUGGGGAACGUGGACAGCCUAACACCCCAAGUGCUGGUCAAGGUGCUGAGCAAGGCCAGAAACCAGAAACAGCCCCAGCUGGGAGGAAGGAGGAGGCAGCCACUGCAGUCUGGGUGUACAGCUGACACCAGAAAGAUGACCUGACCUGCCCAGGUCCACUCAACAGCGCUGCAGGCAGGGGCUCAAGGCUCUGCGAUCUGCAUUUCCUCGAAGCUUGAAGCCGGUGAACAGCCCUGGAAGAGGUCUCCUGAGGCAGCUGCUGUUUACUCCCGCUGGGUCUGCAAAGGAACAUGGGGCAGCACCGGGAUCUUUCUCCUGACGCGCGGACUUAAUUCCCAGUGUCCUGUUUUAAAAGAGACACUGAUGAGCUGAGCUCAUCCCGAAGGAAGAUGGACAGCGAGCAAAGAGGCCCAGGUCCCUGAAGAGCUGCCGAGAAGCUGGGCACAGAGAAGAGACCUCUGGGACGUGGCUGUCAUUCUGCAUUUUGAGGGUGCACCACUGUGGGCCGGCGCUGCUAUGUGGACCCUGUUUCUACUCCUUGUGCCAGGCACCGGCCCUCAUCCCUCACCAGCCUCGGCUCGGAAGGAGAAGGCACACUGUUUCAGACGCCCAUUUCCGUGCUGUGGUCACUACUUAUAUGUGCCCCAGGAAAU